UACGAAGGGGGCGAGCGUUGUUCGGAUUUACUGGGCGUAAAGGGCGCGUAGGCGGCCGAUCAAGUCAGGCGUGAAAGCCCCGGGCUCAACCUGGGAAUGGCGCUUGGGACUGGUUGGCUUGAGUUCGGGAGAGGAGAGUGGAAUUCCACGUGUAGCGGUGAAAUGCGUAGAUAUCAGGAGGAACACCCAUGGCGAAGGCAGCAAACUGGUCCAUAUCUGACGCUGAGGCGCGAAAGCGUGGGUAGCAAACAGG
rnacentral:rRNA from 1 species